rnacentral:lncRNA from 1 species
UCCUCCCAGUCAUUUUGCCCUUGAAUCUCUUUUCUAAUCCUUUGCUCAUAUUAUUAUUAUUAUUAUUAUUAUUAUUAUUAUUAUUUUAUAUACACAUCGAAAGGGUGAUGGAGAUGUGCCAAAAUAAAUAAUCAAAGAUUUAAAAAAAAUUUAAUAAAUAUUUCUCUUUCAAAAUUUUUAAAAUUUUUGCAAUAUAUCCAAAGUUUGCACACGUAGAUCGAUAGAUGACCAUUAGACCACC